rnacentral:rRNA from 1 species
CAAUAGCGUAUAUUAAAGUUGUUGCAGUUAAAAAGCUCGUAGUUGGAUUUCUGGUUGGUACGGACGGUCCCGAGCAAUCGGCGAACUGUGUGUGCUGACCUUCCUCUCGGGGGCUGCGUGGUGCUUCAUUGUGCUGCGUGGAAUUCGAGACCUUUACUUUGAAAAAAUUAGAGUGUUCAAAGCAGGCCUUUGCUUGAAUACAUUAGCAUGGAAUAAUGGAAUAGGACUUUUGUUCUAUUUUGUUGGUUUCUAGGACAGAAGUAAUGAUUAAUAGGGACAGUUGGGGGCAUUAGUAUUUAAUUGUCAGAGGUGAGAUUCUUGGAUUUAUGAAAGACUAACUACUGCGAAAGCGUUUGCCAAGGAUGUUUUCAUUAA